rnacentral:rRNA from 1 species
CCUACGGGAGGCAGCAGUGGGGAAUAUUGCACAAUGGGGGAAACCCUGAUGCAGCAACGCCGCGUGAGUGAUGACGGCCUUCGGGUUGUAAAGCUCUGUCUUCAGGGACGAUAAUGACGGUACCUGAGGAGGAAGCCACGGCUAACUACGUGCCAGCAGCCGCGGUAAUACGUAGGUGGCGGGCGUUGUCCGGUAUUACUGGGCGUAAAGGGAGCGUAGGCGGACUUUUAAGUGCAGUGUGAAAUCCUCGGGCUCAAAUUGAGUGUUGCAUUUCAAACUGGAAGUCUAGAGUGCAGGAGAGGAGAAUGGAAUGCCUAGUGUAGCGGUGAAAUGCGUAGAGAUUAGGAAGAACACCAGUGGCGAAGGCG